AACGAACGCUGGCGGCAUGCCUAACACAUGCAAGUCGAACGAGACCUUCGGGACUUGUGGCGCCUGGGUGCGUCACGCGUGGGAACCUGCCCUUAUGUUCGGCAUACCUCCCCGACAGGGGUGCUAACACCGGAUAAUGUCUUCUGACCAAAGAUUUAUCGCCUUUGGAUGGGCCCGCGUUGGAUUAGCUGGUUGGUAGGGUAAAAGCCUACCACGGCGACGAUCCAUAGCUGGUUUGAGAGGAUGGGCAGCCACGCUGGGACUGAGAAGCGGCCGGGAAUCCUACGCGAGGCGGGAGAGCCGAAUAGAGGACAACGGGGGGAAGGAUGAUCCAGCUAGGCUGCGAAAGUGAUGAUGGCAGGAGAGAAGUAAAGCUCUUUUAACCGGGAUGAUAAUGACAGUACCGGGAGAAUAAGCUCCGGCUAACUACGUG
rnacentral:rRNA from 1 species